rnacentral:tRNA from 1 species
GGGGAUUUAGCUCAGCGGUAGAGCGCUUGCCUAGCAAGUGCAAGACCCUGGGUUCAGUCCCCA